CCUACGGGGGGCAGCAGUGGGGAAUAUUGGACAAUGGGGGCAACCCUGAUCCAGCCAUGCCGCGUGUGUGAAGAAGGCCCUCGGGUUGUAAAGCACUUUCAGUGAGGAAGAACGCCUGGUGGUUAAUAUCCAUCAGGAAAGACAUCACUCACAGAAGAAGCACCGGCUAACUCCGUGCCAGCAGCCGCGGUAAUACGGAGGGUGCGAGCGUUAAUCGGAAUUACUGGGCGUAAAGCGCGCGUAGGUGGCUUGAUAAGCCGGUUGUGAAAGCCCCGGGCUCAACCUGGGAACGGCAUCCGGAACUGUCAAGCUAGAGUGCAGGAGAGGAAGGUAGAAUUCCCGGUGUAGCGGUGAAAUGCGUAGAGAUCGGGAGGAAUACCAGUGGCGAAGGCGGCCUUCUGGACUGACACUGACACUGAGGUGCGAAAGCGUGGGUAGCAAACAGGAUUAGAUACCCUGGUAGUC
rnacentral:rRNA from 1 species